AGCACUUAUUUUAAUGUAAGAAAGAUGUUUGUUUUGUUUUUAUAAAAUACAUGGGGACAAUGCUUUAAGUUUUUAUACUUUCUGGAGCUGUUUUUGUGUUCUAAAAGUACGAUGAGCCUUACUGUAUUUAGUGUGGCAGAGUAAUAAACAUCAGUGGCAGGCCAUUGAUUAUGUCAUGACUGCCGCGCAUCCGCAGAUUGGUGUCAAAGACAUUCACUAUGUUUUCAUGGUUCAUAGUCUCUUCUCCCCAGGGUGAUUGCCUCCAGAGUCGUCCCCCCCAUCCACACUCCAGGUUCAUGCACAGGUGUAGCCUGUCCUGCUUCCAUUCUCCCCAAGUCGCCCUGGUGGGAGUGAUGGUGGGAGGGGAAUGGUCAGGACAAAAAUGAUAUUCUAAGAAAAACUGCACCUUAAGAGGUUUCCCCCACCCCACCCCCUCAACUAGUGCUCAAAGACAAAAACAUAAAAUCCCCAAAGUUGAAAUGCCCAGUUAGCAUUCGGCCCUUCUAAAGGCCGGCCAGGCCUACCCAGUGGAAAAAUGGAAAUGUGUGUUCCUCUAAAUUCUCUAAUGUGACCAGUGAGCUCUUUUGCAAAGAAGCCUUGUUUAACAGAAUUGGUUGUGCACCUAAAUUUAGAAAUGCAUUUCACGAACUGUUCCUCCCUUCUCUUUGCUUUUCUUCCUGCUGUUCCUCUUUCACCCCACAUCUGUUGCUUGCAUUUAAGUUUUUUUCUUCCUUUCAAUAUACAUCCCAGACUGUUAAUACAGAAGAAAGACAUUUCAGCUGAGAUUAUGACCAUCGUUGUAUAUUCGAAUUUCCGAAAGGACAGCCUAGCUGCUUAAGAUGGGGAUUUCCAUAGUUCCAAAGAGGUUUAGCAGAUUAGAGUGAGUUUACAUUUUUUCAGGUGCCACCGUAAGGUUCUCUUAGCCUGGGAAAGCAUCAACUCUUUAAAAGAAAAAGAGGGUUGAAGAUCCUCUUCAUGGACAGAAAUCACUGUGCUUGUUCAGCAAGGCUGAUUUUAACAAAUUCACAGGAGGAAGAGUCGAGUCUCAAGUUAAAUGAUUUGACUUAUUCUUUGCAUCAUUAGAAGAACCACAGAAGUUGCAUUCCUCUGUUUUAUUUUACUUUCAUUUGGAUUGCACUGAUUGUUUUUGUGGGAAUGACACUUUACCUGGAAAAGUAACUGCGAGUGAGGUAAAAGAAUAGUUUCUCCUCCGAAUACUAUAUUCUUUUCACAGUGAAAAUUUCAGUAUUUUAUCACUAAUGUAUGAGCAGUGAUAUAUAUCAAUUUCAAGGCACGUGGAAAAAAUUUUUUUAGUGUGUGCAAUUUAAUAUAGAAAGAUUUCUGCCUGUUUGGACAAUAGGUUUGGGGUAGUAUAAAUUAGGAUCAAUUACUCUUUUAUAUGCACAGAUAUUAUUGUAUUGCCUGUAAAUUGAUUUACAAGUACUUAAAGCAUGGUCCCCAGUGAGGCCAAGAAAGUUUCCGGUUAAGUUCUUUUAAUAUUAAUCCUACAGUUUCUCUUACUUUGAAAAAAAAAAGUCAAAAAGUAGCUUUGAGCAAAAGACUUGACUUAUCUUGAGGUUUUGUCAGUUGAUGGUGGAGAAAAAUGCUCAGGAAAUAUUACAGAUAUUUGCCAAAAAACACAGUAAUAAGAUUAGCUUAUUAAUAAGAUAGUGAUGUUGGUAUUUGCUUUACUAUUUAAGGGCGUCACCGAUAAAUUAAUUUAUACUUGUAGAAAUUAUAGCUUCUUUCCCCAAAUUCUUUAGCCUGUUGUACACAUUUCUGUGUAAUUUGUGGAAGUGCAAUAAUACAUUAGUAAGUUGCAUUUUAAAUGAUGCUCAUGUGAUGAUGCUCCCAAUCAGUGGCUUAUAGAGCUUAAAGAUUGUGUAUUAACUAUUCCAAUUUUGGCUUAAAGGCAUAAGAAGCGUAAGACUUGGUGUGGUGGCUUUGUAAAACCACAAGCCUCUUUAAUGAGGGUUCGUGUCUUUAAGUCGUUAAAAUAUAAGCAAAAACAGAAAGGCUGUUUUCCCCUUGCAAUGCUCCUCUUCCGUAUAUACUCUCAAGAUUUUCACUUUUGGGUUUUAAUAUUGCCCAACAUAAUGCUGUGGUAGCAUUAAAAAAAAAAAAGUAUUUGUGAACUCUUUGUUUCUUAGGGGCUUGUACAUCUCUCUGCUAUGGACAUAGAUUAAAAUUGUAAUUAUACUCAGCUCAACUGCUACAGUUAUGUCUAGGCAGUGGCUUGGGUUUUUAUCGAGCAACAACUUAGACACGUGACUGUAAUAUGCUGCAACUGUGUGUACUGAAAAUAUGUGAAAAUGGUUGAAUGUGGACUGUGUAUAUAUGUAUGUAAAAAUUUCUGUGAGAUGCUGCUGUCGCCACUUAACAUGAAAUAAUGUUCUAGUGGAUUUUAAUCCCAGUGGCCAGUUCUAUGAUACUGUAUGUAUUGUACAGCUGAUGACAGGAGUAAGACUGUUCAGUGAAUAUUUGUUAAAUUUUAUUGUCGUGGCCAGAGAUAAUUUCAGAAUAAAAUUUUAAUGUCCUACCUUACUUUUCUCCCCUUUUCUAACUAUAAUUUUACUCCUGAUCUAUUUCUGGUAUUACUCUUGGUCUGGUAGCCUGGAGAGAGUUUAGCAUACAAGUAUUUUUCAGCAAUCACUGAUUUUUUUUUUUUAAUUUGUACCAUAUAAAUGUACCAAUUCCAAGUAAGACAAGUUUUACUUGGUAACUCUUGCUUUUCUCAUAUUCUGUUCUUUUACUUUUAGUAUUUCAGUGUUAAUUUUCCUUUAUAGAGCCCCUGCUAUGUUCUCUGUCAUGUAGAUCUAGUAUCUUGCUAGAAAUUGGGGAGUGAUAGGGUUGUUUUUUUUGUUUGUUUGUUUGUUUUUUAACUUUCAGGUUGCUAGUUAAGCUGUGGGGGAGCAGAGUCUAAAUUAUCCCCUCCCUGCCCCCCAGCCUUCAUUCUUUUCUGGUACACAAGAUCUGGUAAAUUAUUCUCAUGUGCUUUUCCUGACUCCCCCAUAUGCUUUUUAAUGGUUAUGCUUUUGCCAUUGUACUUGGUGGGCUCUUUGGUUCACAUUUUUGGGAGUUUUAACGGAUCCUUUUGUCAUGACUGGAUCAGAAAAUAAGGCCUGUGAACUGCACUGGCUCAUGAUUUGUCAAGUUCAGUUAAUACCAAGCUAAGAGUUUACUCACAGAUGACAGCGAGCAGAUGCUCUGGUAAUUUGUCAGACAUUGCAGGGGUAUUAUGUAGACAAAUAUUUCCCUCUUGUGGAAAGAACUACCUCACAUUUUUAUUUACACCCCUCCUGCCACUAACAGCCAAAGAAUUACUUAGUGUGGCUUCCUGCAGCAGAAGUGGGAUUUGCUAAAACAAGGGCAUACCGCCGGAGUUCCCAAUCCCGGACUUGGUCUCAUCAUAGCCUAGGCUAGAGACUAACACAGUUGCUUCUCAGAGUUCUUACCCAGUGAAAAUAUAGCAACCGAGAAACCCCAUCUAUUUAGGUUUAAAUUUUUAAGAGAUGUGCAUUAUGAAUAAAAAUGAAAGUUGAUGCUAAAGCAGCAAUUUAAAUUUAAAAUAGAUUGUUCAGCUCUGGCUUAGAACAGAUUACAGCUCCCAGUCAUUCUCUUACCACCAGAUCUUUUCAAAAUUCUUUCUUAAAUUGAUAGCUGCUCUAUUCUAUUUGCGUUUCUAUAACUUUUUCCCUUUUGGAAAGGCACCAGGCAGUUGCCUUCAAACUAGCACCGGAGGAUGGUCCUAGCUAGCACUGGCAGUGGUCUUUUAGAGAAAGGGAAAUUAGUUUGAUUAGUUUUUGCUUUGGGAAGAGAGCAUUGAGAUUGGAGAAAAGGGUAUUUGUGACUGUGUUUCAUUGUUUUUAAAAAGUUUGAAUUACACUGUGUUUCCUUUGGGCCAUUAAGCAAAUAAACAGUUGUCAUUAGAGAUACUGAACACCAUCCAAAGUCAAGUGAAAAAUGACUUGUCUUUGUGUUACAUGUACAGAAGAAAAUUACCUCUUGCAAAGGAUUUGGUUGAUUCGGUUUGAUUUUGACUUAGCAUUUUGCUGUGGUCACAUCUUUAAUAUCUGUGCUACAUCUCAUAUAUAUGGGAGGAGGGGACAUAACUGCUGUUCCUUUGCUUCUUAAGGAUGUUUAAUGAGCAAACUAAUGAAUUAAUAUUCAUUCCUCCAAGGAAAGUUUUCAUUUCAGGAGUAUUAACUAGUCAUCUAUAAUAAGGAGCAGCAGGCUAUGUAAUACCUCACAUGUGUUCCACAGCCUUGCUCCUUAAGAAAAAAGCCUCCCAGAUCUCAGUGUUGUAUGAACAUCAGUUCAGCCUUAUACAUCCCUGUGAGGUAUAAUUACCCUCAUUUCACAUUCGGGGCAACUGAAGUGACUCGCUCCAAAGUGACUUUGCAAAAACUGCUUGGGCCUCGGGUUGUGAUCCGAUAAAGAACUUUGGUCUUAGGCAGUAAAGGAAAAUCCCUAAUUGUGCAUCACAACCAAAGAUUUAGAAAGGGGAGAAAAUUUGAGCUAGCAGUGGACAUUUCUAUUUGAAUUAAUUGCGUAUCAGUUUCCAGGAUUUUUUUUUUUUUUAAGGUGAGAAACUAUGAGACCAAAACACACACACAUAAAAAAAAAAACAAACAAAACUGAGGACUGGAGCAUCUUAGUCUCUUUAGCUGCAUCUAAUAACUAGAAUGCAUUGUGUACAUGCCCCUCAGUUAAUUUAAGAAAGAAGGACGUCUCAUAUUGCCAUAUGUGGAGAGAUUAAGAAUGGUAGCUUUAGUCUUUAUUUUUUGUUCUGGAAACGUGCUUUUUACAUUUGAAUGUAUAAAAAUAUUUUUUGACUCUUCUCAGGGAUCAAAAUUUAAAUUUUACUGACUGUAGCGGAAGGUAAAUCUCUUAAACUUACUCAGGUUUCCUCUCUUUUUGCCUCCAUAUUUAAGAAAACAUAGAAUGCCUGCCAGGGAAAUAUUUAAAAAUCAGCAUUCCAAAUACAAUUUAAUAAUACCAAAUUGUAAAUAAACCAAUUUUACAAAC
ensembl:lncRNA